rnacentral:rRNA from 1 species
UACGAAGGGGGCUAGCGUUGCUCGGAAUCACUGGGCGUAAAGGGUGCGUAGGCGGGUCUUUAAGUCAGAGGUGAAAUCCUGGAGCUCAACUCCAGAACUGCCUUUGAUACUGAAGAUCUUGAGUUCGGGAGAGGUGAGUGAACUGCGAGUGUAGAGGUGAAAUUCGUAGAUAUUCGCAAGAACACCAGUGGCGAAGGCGGCUCACUGGCCCGGUACUGACGCUGAGGUGCGAAAGCGUGGGGAGCAAACAGG